AUUGAACGCUGGCUGCAGGCCUAACACAUGCAAGUCGAACGAGUGGCGGACGGGUGAGUAAUAUAUGGGAAACAGCCUGAUGGAGGGGGAUAACAGCUGGAAACGGUAGCUAAUACCGCAUACCCUAGGAUGUGUGCAGAUGGGAUUUGCUAGUAGGUUGGGUAAAGGCUCACCUAGGCGACGAUCCCUAGAUGGGCUGAGAGGAUGACCAGCCACACUGGAACUGAGACACGGUCCAGUCUCCUCCGGGAGGCAGCAGUGGGGAAUAUUGCACAAUGGGCGCAAGCCUGAUGCAGCCAUGCCGAGUGGAUGAAGAAGGCCUUCGGGUUGUAAAGUACUUUCAGCGGGGAGGCGUUACCCGCAGAAGAAGCACCGGCUAACUCCGUGCCAGCAGCCGCAGUAAUUC
rnacentral:rRNA from 1 species